rnacentral:lncRNA from 1 species
UAGUGUGUUCCAUUAUGAAUGCAAAAUAUAUUGCCAUAUAGAAGCUUACAACAAUGUCGUUUGGAUGGGAAAGUUCAUUUAUGAACUCUCUAUUCGGUUCCAACCAGAAAGUGUAUCUAGUGUAUUGACACUAUGACACUAAUGGGGCGAUAACUCAAGCCAGGGAAUCAAGGUCUCAUCAAGGUCCAAACUCAAAUGAGAGACUGAACCACAUGAUUGAGAAUCAUGUAUAAUGGUGACGACGUUAUUCUCAAGGUUGCUUCUAUGGAUAACAUAUAAAUAUCCAUUGUCGAGGCCUACUAUUCAGCCAUUUAUGAAAUGACUACAGAAGAGGUAUCAUCACUGAUGACCAAGCUGAUUGGCUCUAGUGCAAGUGGGAGAUUGUUGGAAAUGUGCCCUAAAACCAAUCAUAUGAUGAUACUUUACGGACAUUUCACAUGUUAAACUAAUCUAGUUUAAUAUCAAGGGCAAAGAUUAUUGUUUAAGCCGUCUCAUAUAAAUGUUAUUUGCUUAAACGAUAAGUCUAAGUAAUAUGUGAUUGGGAGAAUGCGAUCUAAAGAAGUUAGAUUCAUGAGACCAUUUUUUCGUAGACACAUCCUAAACGUUCCUGAUCAUAGGAUUGCCAAUUGGGCAUUGACAGUCCGUUAAGAUCAGUA